rnacentral:ncRNA from 1 species
GUUCUGGGCCGCACGCGCGCUACACUGAUGUAUUCAACGAGUAUAUAGCCUUGGCCGACAGGCCCGGGUAAUCUUGGGAAAUUUCAUCGUGAUGGGGAUAGAUCAUUGCAAUUGUUGGUCUUGCACGAGGAAUGCCUAGUAAGCGCGAGUCAUCAGCUCGCGUUGACUACGUCCCUGCCCUUUGUACACACCGCCCGUCGCUCCUACCGAUUGAAUGGUCCGGUGAAGUGUUCGGAUCGCGGCGACGGGGGCGG